GCCCCGCGCGCGCUCUCCGUUCCCCAGUCGUUCGCGCGCGUUGUCGGCGAUAACUUGUCUGUGUGUUGUUCGCUCUCUAUCGCGUGUUGUGUUUACAAUAGUGUUGUUAUUGUUGUUGUUACAGUCAGUGCUGUGUCAGACUGUGUGAAAUUGAUAUAUUACUAUUAACAGUCGUGCACAAGAUUAUUUACGGACUAAAUAAGUGUAGCAGUAGACAACCACGGCAGGCGCCGAGCUCAGCUCGGGUCAUGUGGUCAUCGGGCCAGGGUCGCGCGGCGUGAUGAGAUCGCGCGUGCGACGGGCCCGCUUGGCCCUUGCUGGCGAGUGCGCUGCUGCUGGCGUGUGCGCAGGCGCUCCCCGCCAGUGAGCAGCUCGCGCCAGGAAUAUGCCCUUCUAUGGACAUAAGAAACAAUCCGGAGCAGAUAAACCGGUUGCGAGGAUGUCGGGUGAUCGAGGGCCAACUCAGCAUUGUGCUGAUGGAGCGCUCUACGCCCAAGAUCUACGAGAACAUAAGCUUCCCGGAGCUCAGGGAAGUCACUGGAUAUAUUAUGAUAUACAGGACAAAGGUGAGGAACCUUGGCGAUCUGUUUCCAAACCUCACAGUGGUGCGGGGGAUACAGCUCUUCAAGGAUUUCGCUAUUGUCAUAUUCGACAAUGAGCAUCUCGAGGUACGUAUUUUGCAAUUUUC